UCCCCGAUGGACAAGUGGCUAGCAUGCGGUGGUCUCAUCACUGUGGCCCGGGUUUGAUUCCUGGUCAGGGAA